CCAAUAGCGUAUAUUAAAGUUGUUGCAGUUAAAAAGCUCGUAGUUGAAUUUCGGGCUUGACACAUCGGUCGUGCCUUAAGGGGUAUGAACUGGUGUAGUCAAUUUCUCACCUUCUGGAGAACCGCAAUGCCCUUAAUUGGGUGUCGCGGGGAACCAGGACCUUUACUUUGAAAAAAUUAGAGUGUUUAAAGCAGGCAUUUUGCUUGAAUACAUUAGCAUGGAAUAAUAAAAUAGGACGGAUGAUUCUAUUUUGUUGGUUUCUAGGACCACCGUAAUGAUUAAUAGGGAUAGUUGGGGGCAUUAGUAUUCAAUUGUCAGAGGUGAAAUUCUUGGAUUUAUUGAAGACUAACUACUGCGAAAGCAUUUGCCAAGGAUGUUUUCAUUAAUCAAGAACGAAAGUUAGGGGAUCGAAGACGAUCAGAUACCGUCGUAGUCUUAACCAUAAACUAUGCCGACUAGGAAUCAGACGAUGUUAAUUUUUUAAUGACUCGUUUGGCACCUUACGGGAAACCAAAGUGUUUGAAUUC
rnacentral:misc_RNA from 1 species